rnacentral:rRNA from 1 species
CAAUGGGCAACCGGCGAACGGGUGCGUAACACGUGUNGCAACCUACCGAACUGUGGGGGAUAGCCGGCCUAACGGCCGAGUAAUAUCGCAUACGCUUUCAUUGAGGCAUUUCAGUGAAAGGAAACCUACGGGACAGAUCGAGGGGCUCGCGGCCUAUCAGCUAGUUGGCGAGGUAACGGCUCACCAAGGCGACGACGGGUAGCUGGUCUGAGAGGAUGGCCAGCCACAUUGGGACUGAGAUACGGCCCAGACUCCUACGGGAGGCAGCAGUGGGGAAUCUUGCGCAAUGGCCUAACGGCUGACGCAGCGACGCCGCGUGUGGGAUGAAGCUCCUCGGAGUGUAAACCACUGUUGCCCGGGACGAAUAGCUCGAUUAAUCGAGCCUGACGGUACCGGGUGAGGAAGCACCGGCUAACUCCGUGCCAGCAGCCGCGGUAAUACGGGGGGUGCGAGCGUUGUCCGGAAUCACUGGGCGUAAAGGGCGCGUAGGUGGUUUGAUAAGGGUGUGGUGAAAGUCCGGGGCUCAACUCCGGAUCUGCCGUGCCGACUGUCAAACUCGAGGGCUGUAGAGGCAGACGGAAUUCCGGGUGUAGCGGUGGAAUGCGUAGAGAUCCGGAGGAAGACCGGUGGCGAAGGCGGUCUGCUGGGCAGUUUCUGACACUGAGGCGCGACAGCGUGGGGAGCAAACAGGAUUAGAUACCCUGGUAGUCCACGCCGUAAACGAUGGGUACUAGGUGCCUGGGGGAGCGACCCUCUGGGUGCCGGCGCUAACGCAGGAAGUACCCCGCCUGGGGAGUACGACCGCAAGGUUGAAACUC